GAUGAACGCUAGCGAUAGGCUUAACACAUGCAAGUCGAGGGGCAGCACAAGGUAGCUUGCUAUCUGGGUGGCGACCGGCGCACGGGUGCGUAACGCGUAUGCAACUUGCCCUAUACAGGAGGAUAACCCGUCGAAAGACGGACUAAUACUGCGUAUGCUCACAACUUGGCAUCAAGUGGUGAGGAAAGAAAUUCGGUAUAGGAUAGGCAUGCGUCCCAUUAGCUUGUUGGUGAGGUAACGGCUCACCAAGGCAACGAUGGGUAGGGGAACUGAGAGGUUUAUCCCCCACACUGGUACUGAGACACGGACCAGACUCCUACGGGAGGCAGCAGUGAGGAAUAUUGGUCAAUGGGCGCGAGCCUGAACCAGCCAAGUCGCGUGAAGGAUGACUGUCUUAUGGAUUGUAAACUUCUUUUAUACGGGAAUAACAAGAGUCGCGUGUGACUCCCUGCAUGUACCGUAUGAAUAAGCAUCGGCUAACUCCGUG
rnacentral:rRNA from 1 species